CCUACGGGAGGCAGCAGUAGGGAAUCUUCCGCAAUGGACGCAAGUCUGACGGAGCAACGCCGCGUGAGUGACGAAGGUUUUCGGAUCGUAAAACUCUGUUGUGAGGGAAGAACACGUACCAGGUAACUACUGGUACCUUGACGGUACCUCACCAGAAAGCCACGGCUAACUACGUGCCAGCAGCCGCGGUAAUACGUAGGUGGCAAGCGUUGUCCGGAAUUAUUGGGCGUAAAGCGCGCGCAGGCGGUCCUUUAAGUCUGAUGUGAAAGCCCACGGCUCAACCGUGGAGGGUCAUUGGAAACUGGGGGACUUGAGUGCAGAAGAGGAAAGUGGAAUUCCAUGUGUAGCGGUGAAAUGCGUAGAGAUGUGGAGGAACACCAGUGGCGAAGGCGACUUUCUGGUCUGUAACUGACGCUGAGGCGCGAAAGCGUGGGGAGCAAACAGGAUUAGAUACCCUGGUAGUCCACGCCGUAAACGAUGAGUGCUAAGUGUUAGGGGGUUUCCGCCCCUUAGUGCUGCAGCUAACGCAUUAAGCACUCCGCCUGGGGAGUACGGCCGCAAGGCUGAAACUCAAAUGAAUUGACGGGG
rnacentral:rRNA from 1 species